rnacentral:rRNA from 1 species
UACGUAGGGGGCAAGCGUUGUCCGGAAUCAUUGGGCGUAAAGAGCGUGUAGGCGGCCCGAUAAGUCCGCCGUGAAAGUCCAGGGCUCAACCCUGGGAUGCCGGUGGAUACUGUCGAGCUCGAGUCCGGAAGAGGCGAGUGGAAUUCCUGGUGUAGCGGUGAAAUGCGCAGAUAUCAGGAGGAACACCAAUGGCGAAGGCAGCUCGCUGGGACGUGACUGACGCUGAGACGCGAAAGCGUGGGGAGCAAACAGG